rnacentral:rRNA from 1 species
AGCGAACGCUGGCGGCAGGCCUAACACAUGCAAGUCGAACGGAUCCUUCGGGAUUAGUGGCGGACGGGUGAGUAACACGUGGGAACGUGCCCUUUGGUUCGGAACAACUCAGGGAAACUUGAGCUAAUACCGGAUGUGCCCUUCGGGGGAAAGAUUUAUCGCCAUUGGAGCGGCCCGCGUCUGAUUAGCUAGUUGGUGAGGUAACGGCCCACCAAGGCGACGAUCAGUAGCUGGUCCGAGAGGAUGAUCAGCCACACUGGGACUGAGACACGGCCCAGACCCCUACGGGAGGCAGCAGGUGGGAAUCUUGGCGAAUGGGCGAAAGCCUGACGCAGCCAUGCCGCGUGAAUGAUGAAGGUCUUAGGAUUGUAAAAUUCUUUCAGCGGGGACGAUAAUGACGGUACCCGCAGAAGAAGCUCCGGCUAACUUCGUG